rnacentral:rRNA from 1 species
GACAGAGGGUGCAAACGUUGUUCGGAAUUACUGGGCGUAAAGCGUGUGUAGGCGGUCCACUAAGUCGGGUGUGAAAGCCCUGGGCUCAACCCAGGAAGUGCACUCGAAACUGGCGGGCUAGAGUAUCGGAGAGGUUGGUGGAAUUCUCGGUGUAGCAGUGAAAUGCGUAGAGAUCGGGAGGAACAUCUGUGGCGAAGGCGACUACCUGGACCAGCACUGACACUGAGGCACGAAAGCGUGGGGAGCAAACAGG